GCGCCCAUAGCUCAACUGGAUAGAGCGCCUGACUACGGAUCAGACGGUUGGGGGUUCGAAUCCCUCUGGGCGUACUA
rnacentral:tRNA from 1 species